rnacentral:rRNA from 1 species
UACGAGGGGUGCAAGCGUUGCUCGGAAUUAUUGGGCGUAAAGGGUAGGUAGGUGGUCUCAUUUGUCCGGGGUGAAAGCCUUGAGCUUAACUCAAGAAGUGCCUCGGAAACGGUGAGACUAGAGUCUUGGAGAGGGUCGUGGAAUUCCCGGUGUAGCGGUGAAAUGCGUAGAUAUCAGGAGGAACACCUGUGGCGAAAGCGGCUCACUGGACCAUAACUGACGCUGAUGCACGAAAGCUAGGGGAGCAAACAGG